rnacentral:rRNA from 1 species
GUUAUUGAGCUUAAAGCGUCCGUAGCCGGCCUUGUAUAUCCUCGGGUAAAUCGGGCAGCUCAACUGUUCGAAUUCCGAGGAGACUGCAAGGCUCGGGACCGGGAGAGGCUAGAGGUACUCUCGGGGUAGGGGUAAAAUCCUGUAAUCCUGAGAGGACCACCAGUGGCGAAGGCGUCUAGCUAGAACGGAUCCUUCGGUGAGGGACGAACCCCUGGGGCGCAAACGGGAUUAGAUACCCCGGUAGUCCAGGGUGUAAACGCUGCGGGCUUGGUGUCGGAGGUCCUCCGAGGGCGUCCGGUGCCGGAGAGAAAUUGUUAAGCCUGCCGCUUGGGGAGUACGGUCGCAAGACUGAAACUUAAAGGAAUUGGGGGGAGGCACCGCAACGGGAGGAGCGUGCGGCUCAAUUGGAUUCAACGCCGGG